GAUGAACGCUGGCGGCGUGCCUAAUACAUGCAAGUCGAGCGAACAGACGAGGAGCUUGCUCCUCUGACGUUAGCGGCGGACGGGUGAGUAACACGUGUAUAACCUACCUAUAAGACUGGGAUAACUUCGGGAAACCGGAGCUAAUACCGGAUAAUAUAUUGAACCGCAUGGUUCAAUAGUGAAAGACGGUUUUGCUGUCACUUAUAGAUGGAUCCGCGCCGCAUUAGCUAGUUGGUAAGGUAACGGCUUACCAAGGCAACGAUGCGUAGCCGACCUGAGAGGGUGAUCGGCCACACUGGAACUGAGACACGGUCCAGACUCCUACGGGAGGCAGCAGUAGGGAAUCUUCCGCAAUGGGCGAAAGCCUGACGGAGCAACGCCGCGUGAGUGAUGAAGGGCUGCGGAUCGUAAAACGCUGUUAUUAGGGAAGAACAAAUGUGUAAGUAACUAUGCACGUCUUGACGGUACCUAAACAGAAAGCCACGGCUAACUACGU
rnacentral:rRNA from 1 species